UCAUAGCCUUUCACAUUCUUUA
rnacentral:miRNA from 1 species